rnacentral:rRNA from 1 species
UACAGAGGUCUCAAGCGUUGUUCGGAUUCAUUGGGCGUAAAGGGUGCGUAGGCGGCGCGGUAAGUCGGGUGUGAAAGCCCUCGGCUCAACCGAGGAAUUGCGCCCAAAACUGCUGCACUAGAGGAAGACAGAGGUACGCGGAACUUAGGGUGGAGCGGUGAAAUGCGUUGAUAUCCUAAGGAACACCGGUGGCGAAAGCGGCGUACUGGGUCUUAUCUGACGCUGAGGCACGAAAGCUAGGGGAGCGAACGGG